CUUUUAUGGAGUAUCUGCUGUCUCGAUGGAUGUGUCCGGGUUGUGAGCGCUCAAAUCGGGCGUGAACAGCAGAUCGUCUGGCCGCUCGGAGCUCCACCUCCACGCUAAUUGGACAGGAUGGUACAUCCGGGACAUUAAAGAAAAGCUAUUGUGAUGUGGUCAAGAAGGACAAGUAAAUGUGUGGCUGGGGGCUGACAUGAGCAGCCAUAGAGGUGAUGUUCCAUCCUUUGGUGAGUUCGCAACUGAAGGUCCAGAGAAGUUCCAGAGAUGGAGCUACCACUUCCUCCUCUUCCUCUUCUGCCUGCACCUCCUCUUCUUCCUCAUUUUGCUCCUCCUCUUUCACCUGCUCCUCCACUUUUACCUCCUGCACCUCCUCCGUCAUCUCAUCCAAUUCUUCCUCUUCAUCCUCUUCCUUCUCUUCUUCAUUGUUGAGCUCCUCAGACUCCGGCUUGGUCUCGAAGGAGGGUUCUUAGAAGAGUUGGCUCGUCAUGGCACUGAGACAACCAUCUCCAUUCGUCAGACGUUACCUUGGAUCUCGGGGAGGUUCCUGUAAGAGGCCAGCCUUGCUUGAAAGAUGUUGGCAACCACGCAGCGUUCUAUAAUGAGCAGGUUACUCUGGAACGUCUCCGACUGGAAGAUCAGCUGAAGCUCUGACUCAUCCAUCAUGUCGCCCGCUUGCUUGUUGAAAGCAAACAAGGAGCUUCCGGUACUGGCUGGGGACAUGCGAGACAAAAUCAACAACUUUCCCUAGUUAGCGUACAUUCAUUUUUUUUUUACUUGUGUCGAUUGUGCUGAUGCUGCUGACGCUUCCUAUUUCCUUGGGAUCUUCAUUAAAGUCCGGCGAACUUUGCGCACUUCUCUCCGCUUUUGAAUCUUCGGUUUGGAAGGAGUCGAAAAUGUCCCAAAUGGUGGCCAUGGUGCCUGUCAAAAAAAGCAAAUUUGAGUAAACUGACCACUUAACAGAGCGAGUGUCAAGCUUACCCUGAUCGUGCAUGACAAUUUUGUCGCUCUGGAGUUUUUUGUUUUUAGAAGCUCCGACGAACGUCUGCAUGGCUCGCUCCACGUACUUGUCGUUGCCCAAUCGGUUGUUGCACAGCUCAAUGUAGAGGACGUUGCUCCGCCUAAAGACGAUACGGCGAGGUUUCCCUAUGCUCGUAGACUGAUAAUUCAUAAAAUAUU